AGUCGAGUAGCUCAGUUGGUUAGAGCACUGUUCCCGGAAAGUGGCAGGGACCUGGGUUCAAUUCCCAGCUUGAUCA
rfam:Gymnopus luxurians FD-317 M1 unplaced genomic scaffold GYMLTscaffold_20, whole genome shotgun sequence.